rnacentral:lncRNA from 1 species
GCCAUGUUACAAAAAAAAAAAAAGCAAAAAAAAAAAAAAAUACAAUCGCUCACUGGAGAAUAUUUCCAGGCCUGGUGGUGAACCACUCAGUAUCAAUAGAUACAUGUUUGUUCUUUCCUUUUAAAACUGUAAGCCAUAGAAUUUACUAUUUACACCUACUUCAGACAUUUAUUCUGCUUACAAUAUCACAGGCAUGGAAUGGAUUCUAUCUGAUAGUGCUAAGACAUAAAGGUACGAGACCAAGGGAGAAAAUACUUAGUGUUACAAAAUAUGGAUCGUAGAAAAGAAACCCACUCACAAGUGUGGCAUUUGUUUAGAAUGAUUGGACAUGCUUUCUUCAAAAUUCUUCUGGAAAAGAGUCUAAAACCGGUAGUAGGAAAGGACAAAUGAGCAGGUGCAAAUUCUUUUCUGUGCAACAAUAGUUACUCAGUAAACCCCAUGACGGACCAGCUACAUAAAACCCACAGAGUUUUGUUAAAGUGCCAUGGGCCGACAGCAUAACAAAAUAGAAGGUGUAAAUAGAAAAUUUCUUUUUUUCCUUUUUUAAAACAAGAGUUCACUGAGAAUCAGCAAUAAUAGAAUAUGCUGUAUAAACUAUUCUCUACAAAGGUUGAUCAGCGCUAUUUACAAUUAGUACAUUGAUACAAAAGAAGGCAUACAAGUAAUCCAAGUCGCUUUUUUUUUUUUUUAAAUUUUAUGGCUGACAGGUCUAUGCAUUGCGUUAUGCUUAACAACCAGAGCUUUCGAGGCUCUAUGGCUGGCGACAAGUCAGGAGAUCUUCAGGCAAAUAGGGGUGUGUGCAGUCGAGGGGCUGGGAGAGAAGGCCCAGUCGGGUGCGGAACAGAAGGACCCAAAGGAGAUCACUCUAAUAAUGCAUUAUAGGCUGGUCCAGUUGAACUUCAUGAAAACAAACCCAAAGGAAACCUUUUAUUUGCAUUCCAUUUUUUCAAGCUGCAAGUUUUUUCUUUAAUACAUCAUUAUAAAGUAAACCUGUGGUUGAUUGUGAAGGAAGAAAUACCGUGGGUUUUCCCUUUUUUCUCAGUUUCCCAGAAAUGUCCUCACCUUGGUCAGAGCCAGUCUUUUGAGAAAGUAAGCAGCAUUUGGUGGGGAGCCUCUUUUAUUCCAGCUUCCGAUUUGAGGCGUAGAAAGCGACAAUGUUUAAACCUGUCGAGUUGUUCUUCAGUCCCUGUCGAGACGUGAUUUCUCAGAAGCAGCCACUCAAUCUCUCAACCUUUGUUUUCCCUCUCUGAGUAUGAGUUAUAAAUCAGAGGGUUAUUUUGUUGCUGAGAUUUUUUUUUUACUCCUGCAAGUUUUACAACUCAAAAUAAAUUAUAAAAAACAAUAGACUUCUAAAACCGAACAAGACAAAAAUUGUGCAAAAAUAACAAAGAUAUGUACACAUUUUUCAGUCUGAAGAAAUGUACAAUAAAAACAUAAUUCAAAGAACAUUUAAAAAAUAUAAACAUUGCUUAAACUUUCCUAAGUUUCAUAUUGUUUCUGAAACUAUUCUGGUC